rnacentral:rRNA from 1 species
CGGGAGUAACGCGUGAGGAACCUGCCUCAAAGAGGGGGACAACAGUUGGAAACGACUGCUAAUACCGCAUAAGCCCACAGCUCGGCAUCGAGCAGAGGGAAAAGGAGCAAUCCGCUUUGAGAUGGCCUCGCGUCCGAUUAGCUAGUUGGUGAGGUAACGGCCCACCAAGGCGACGAUCGGUAGCCGGACUGAGAGGUUGAACGGCCACAUUGGGACUGAGACACGGCUCAG